AUUGAACGCUGGCGGAAUGCUUUACACAUGCAAGUCGAACGGCAGCACGGGGCAACCUGGUGGCGAGUGGCGAACGGUGAGUAAUACAUCGGAACGUGCCCAAUCGUGGGGGAUAACGUAGCGAAAGUUACGCUAAUACCGCAUACGAUCUACGGAUGAAAGCGGGGGAUCGCAAGACCUCGCGCGAAUGGAGCGGCCGAUGUCAGAUUAGGUAGUUGGUGGGGUAAAGGCUCACCAAGCCGACGAUCUGUAGCUGGUCUGAGAGGACGACCAGCCACACUGGGACUGAGACACGGCCCAGACUCCUACGAGAGGCAGCAGUGGGGAAUUUUGGACAAUGGGCGCAAGCCUGAUCCAGCCAUUCCGCGUGCAGGAUGAAGGCCUUCGGUUGUAAACUGCUUUGUACGGAACGAAACGGUUACGUCUCUAAUACAGGGGC
rnacentral:rRNA from 1 species